UGAGGUAGUUAGUGUUGUAGAAGGUAGUAUCGGAACUUCUCAUCAUGAAAAUGUAAAUCUCACUGGUAGUAGUGACAUGGAGAUAGGAAAUAACAAUGUAGUUUCCCAAGGGCUUAAUUCUGGAGCUACAGUUAUGGAUGAAGACCAGUUUGAACAGGUAUCUUUGAAGGAUCAGGAAAAGGCAGCUGCUGGGGUACAGAUUGGUCAUGCAGAUUCAAACCGAUCAUCCAAUUCAGAGCAUGAGACACAACUAUCUGAUGAAUUUUAUGAAGCCUCUAAAUAUUUAUCUGGGACUUUUAGGGCUGAGCUUGGUUCUCCUCCACUG
rnacentral:misc_RNA from 1 species